UACGAAGGGGGCUAGCGUUGUUCGGAAUUACUGGGCGUAAAGCGCGCGCAGGCGGUCUUCCAAGUCAGUGGUGAAAGCCUGGAGCUCAACUCCAGAACUGCCAUUGAAACUGUUAGACUUGAGUACGAGAGAGGUGAGUGGAAUUCCCAGUGUAGAGGUGAAAUUCGUAGAGAUUGGGAAGAACACCAGUGGCGAAGGCGGCUCACUGGACUGGUAUUGACGCUGAGGUGCGAAAGCGUGGGGAGCAAACAGG
rnacentral:rRNA from 1 species